GGGGCUGUAGCUCAGUUGGCCAGAGCGCGUGACUGGCAGUCACGAGGCCGGGGGUUCGAGUCCCCCCAGCUCCA
rnacentral:tRNA from 1 species